GGAUAACCCCGGGAAACUGGGGCUAAUACCGGAUAGGCAAUUAUUCCUGCAAUGGUUUUUUGUUUAAAUGUUUUUUCGCCUAAGGAUAGGUCUGCGGCUGAUUAGGUCGUUGGUGGGGUAAUGGCCCACCAAGCCGAUGAUCGGUACGGGUUGUGAGAGCAAGGGCCCGGAGAUGGAACCUGAGACAAGGUUCCAGACCCUACGGGGUGCAGCAGGCGCGAAACCUCCGCAAUGUACGAAAGUGCGACGGGGGGAUCCCAAGUGUUAUGCUUUUUUGUAUGACUUUUCAUUAGUGUAAAAAGCUUUUAGAAUAAGAGCUGGGCAAGACCGGUGCCAGCCGCCGCGGUAACACCGGCAGCUCGAGUGGUAGCUGUUUUUAUUGGGCCUAAAGCGUUCGUAGCCGGUUUGAUAAGUCUUUGGUGAAAGCUUGUAGCUUAACUAUAAGAAUUGCUGGAGAUACUAUUAGACUUGAAGUCGGGAGAGGUUAGAGGUACUACCGGGGUAGGGGUGAAAUCCUAUAAUCCUGGGAGGACCACCUGUGGCGAAGGCGUCUAACUGGAACGAUCUUGACGGUGAGUAACGAAAGCCAGGGGCGCGAACCGGAUUAGAUACCCGGGUAGUCCUAACUGUAAACGAUGUGGACUUGGUGUUGGAAUGGCUUUGAGUUGUUCCGGUGCCGAAGGGAAGCUGUUAAGUCCACCGCCUGGGAAGUACGGUCGCAAGACUGAAACUUAA
rnacentral:rRNA from 1 species